rnacentral:rRNA from 1 species
ACGGAGGGAGCUAGCGUUGUUCGGAAUUACUGGGCGUAAAGCGUACGUAGGCGGUUAUUCAAGUCAGAGGUGAAAGCCCGGGGCUCAACCCCGGAACGGCCUUUGAAACUAGGUAGCUAGAAUUCUGGAGAGGUCAGUGGAAUUCCGAGUGUAGAGGUGAAAUUCGUAGAUAUUCGGAAGAACACCAGUGGCGAAGGCGACUGACUGGACAGACAUUGACGCUGAGGUACGAAAGCGUGGGGAGCAAACAGGAUUAGAUACCCUGGUAGUCCACGCCGUAAACGAUGAUAACUAGCUGUUCGGGUACUUGGUAUCUGAGUGGCGCAGCUAACGCAUUAAGUUAUCCGCCUGGGGAGUACGGUCGCAAGAUUA